rnacentral:tRNA from 1 species
UCCCCUGUAUCUCAGACAGUAAAGAAUCCGCCUGCAACGCGGGAGACCCAGGUUUGAUCCCUGGGUUGGGAA